rnacentral:rRNA from 1 species
AGGUAAGCUACUAAGAGCGAAUGGUGGAUGCCUUGACUGGUAGAGGCGAUGAAGGACGUACUAGACUGCGAUAAGCUAGGUGGAGCUGUCAAGAAGCUUUGAUGCCUAGAUUUCCGAAUGGGGCAACCCAGUAUAUAGAGAUAUAUACUACCAUAAUGGAGCGAACGAGGGGAAUUGAAACAUCUUAGUACCCUCAGGAAAAGAAAUCAAACGAGAUUGCGUCAGUAGCGGCGAGCGAAAGCGUAAGAGGGCAAACCCAGUGCUUGCACUGGGGGUUGUAGGACUGCAAUGUGCAAGAGGAAAGGUUAGCAGAACACUCUGGAAAGUGUAGCCAUAGAGGGUGAUAGUCCCGUAUGCAAAAACCUAACCUUAGCUAGCAGUAUCCUGAGUAGGGCGGGACACGAGAAAUCCUGUCUGAAGCUGGGUAGACCACUAUCCAACCCUAAAUACUACUACCAGAUCGAUAGCGAACAAGUACCGUGAGGGAAAGGUGAAAAGAACGGCGGUGAGCCGAGUGAAAUAGAACCUGAAACCAUUUGCUUACAAUCAUUCAGAGCACUAUGUAGCAAUACAGUGUGAUGGACUGCCUUUUGCAUAAUGAGCCUGCGAGUUGUGGUGUCUGGCAAGGUUAAGCUAACGCGAAGCCGUAGCGAAAGCGAGUCUGAAUAGGGCGCUAAGUCAGAUGCUGCAGACCCGAAACGAAGUGAUCUAUCCAUGAGCAGGUUGAAGCUAGUGUAAGAACUAGUGGAGGACCGAACCCGCUAGCGUUGAAAAGCUAUGGGAUGACUUGUGGAUAGGGGUGAAAGGCCAAUCAAACUUCGUGAUAGCUGGUUCUCUCCGAAAUAUAUUUAGGUAUAGCGUUGUGUCGUAACUAAAGGGGGUAGAGCACUGAAUGGGCUAGGGCAUACACCAAUGUACCAAACCCUAUCAAACUCCGAAUACCUUUAGUGUAAUCACAGCAGUCAGGCGGCGAGUGAUAAAAUCCGUCGUCAAGAGGGAAACAACCCAGACUAACAGCUAAGGUCCCCAAAUCUUACUUAAGUGGAAAACGAUGUGAAGUUACUUAAACAACCAGGAGGUUGGCUUAGAAGCAGCCAUCCUUUAAAGAAAGCGUAAUAGCUCACUGGUCUAGU